AACGAACGCUGGCGGCACGUUUUAAGCAUGCAAGUCGAAUGGCAGUGGGGGCAACCCCAUGAGAAUGGCGAACGGGUGAGUAACACGUAGGUGAUCUGCCUGACGGAUGGGGAUAGCUUGUGGAAACACAGGGUAAUACCGAAUGAGCUGACGAGACUUUGGUUUUGUUAGUAAAGGUGCUACGGCACCGCCGACAGAGGAGCCUGCGGCUGAUUAGCUAGUUGGUGGGGUAAAGGCCUACCAAGGCGACGAUCAGUAGCCGGCCUGAGAGGGUGUACGGCCAAACUGGAACUGAGACACGGUCCAGACUCCUACAGGAGGCAGCAGCUAAGAAUCUUCCGCAAUGGGCGAAAGCCUGACGGAGCGAUGCCGCGUGAUCGAUGAAGGUCGAGAGAUUGUAAAGAUCUUUUCUACAUGAGGAAUAAGUCUGGGAGGGAAUGCCUGGAUGAUGACGUUAGUGUAGGAAUAAGCCCCGGCUAAUUACGUGCCAGCAGCCGCAGUAA
rnacentral:rRNA from 1 species